rnacentral:rRNA from 1 species
AGCGAACGCUGGCGGCAGGCCUAACACAUGCCAGUCGAACGAACCUUUCGGGGUUAGUGGCGGACGGGUGAGUAACACGUGGGAACGUGCCUUUAGGUUCGGAAUAACUCAGGGAAACUUGUGCUAAUACCGAAUGUGCCCUUCGGGGGAAAGAUUUAUCGCCUUUAGAGCGGCCGGCGUCUGAUUAGCUAGUUGGUUGAGGUAAUGGCUCACCAAGGCGACGAUCAGUAGCUGGUCGGAGAGGAUGAUCAGCCACAUUGGGACUGAGACACGGCCCAAACUCCUACGGGAGGCAGCAGUGGGGAAUCUUGCGGAAUGGGCGAAAGCCUGACGCAGCCAUGCCGCGUGAAUGAUGAAGGUGUUAGGAUUGUAAAAUUCUUUCACCGGGGACGAUAAUGACGGUACCCGGAGAAGAAGCCCCGGCUAACUUCGUG